GGGUACUGCGGAAGGAUCAUUACCGAGUUUUCGAGCUUCGGCUCGACUCUCCCACCCUUUGUGAACGUACCUCUGUUGCUUUGGCGGCUUCGGCCGCCAAAGGACCUUCAAACUCCAGUCAGUAAACGCAGACGUCUGAUAAACAAGUUAAUAAACUAAAACUUUCAACAACGGAUCUCUUGGUUCUGGCAUCGAUGAAGAACGCAGCGAAAUGCGAUAAGUAAUGUGAAUUGCAGAAUUCAGUGAAUCAUCGAAUCUUUGAACGCACAUUGCGCCCCUUGGUAUUCCGGGGGGCAUGCCUGUUCGAGCGUCAUUACAACCCUCAAGCUCUGCUUGGAAUUGGGCACCGUCCUCACUGCGGACGCGCCUCAAAGACCUCGGCGGUGGCUGUUCAGCCCUCAAGCGUAGUAGAAUACACCUCGCUUUGGAGCGGUUGGCGUCGCCCGCCGGACGAACCUUCUGAACUUUUCUCAAGGUUGACCUCGGAUCAGGUAGGGAUACCCGCUGAACUUAAGCAUAUCAAAAGCCCCGGAGGAAAGAUCAUUACCGAGUUUUCGAGCUUCGGCUCGACUCUCCACCUUUGUGAACGUACCUCUGUUGCUUUGGCGGCUUCGGCCGCAAAGGACUUCAACUCGUCGUAAACGCGACUCUGAUAAACAAGUUAAUAAACUAAAACUUUCAACAACGGGAUCUCUUGGUUCUGGCAUCGAUGAAGAACGCAGCGAAAUGCGAGUAAGUAAUGUGAAUUGCAGAAAUUCGUGAAUCAUCGAAAUCUUUUGAACGCACAUUGCGCCCUUGGUAUUCGGGGGGGCA
rnacentral:rRNA from 1 species